AUUGAACGCUGGCGGCAUGCCUUACACAUGCAAGUCGAACGGUAACAGGUCUUCGGACGCUGACGAGUGGCGAACGGGUGAGUAAUACAUCGGAACGUGCCCAGUCGUGGGGGAUAACUACUCGAAAGAGUAGCUAAUACCGCAUACGAUCUGAGGAUGAAAGCGGGGGACCUUCGGGCCUCGCGCGAUUGGAGCGGCCGAUGGCAGAUUAGGUAGUUGGUGGGAUAAAAGCUUACCAAGCCGACGAUCUGUAGCUGGUCUGAGAGGACGACCAGCCACACUGGGACUGAGACACGGCCCAGACUCCUACGGGAGGCAGCAGUGGGGAAUUUUGGACAAUGGGCGAAAGCCUGAUCCAGCAAUGCCGCGUGCAGGAUGAAGGCCUUCGGGUUGUAAACUGCUUUUGUACGGAACGAAAAAGCUUCUCCUAAUACGAGAGGCC
rnacentral:rRNA from 1 species